GAUGAAGAACGUAGCGAAAUGCGAUACGUAAUGUGAAUUGCAGAAUUCGGUGAAUCAUCGAAUCUUUGAACGCACAUUGCGCCUGCCAGCACUCUGGCAGGCAUGCCUGUUCGAGCGUCAUUUCAACCAUCAAGCCCUAGGCUUGCGUUGGAGCCCUGCGGCUGCCGCAGGCCCCUAAAAGCAGUGGCGGGCUCGCUAUCACACCGAGUGCAGUAGAUUACUCUUCGCUCAGGGCGUGUGGCGGGUUCCAGCCGUGAAACCCCCUACUUCUCAAGGUUGACCUCGGAUCAGGUAGGAAUACCCGCUGAACUUAAGCAUAUCAAUAAGCGGAGGA
rnacentral:misc_RNA from 1 species